GAUGAACGCUGGCGGCGUGCCUAAUACAUGCAAGUCGAGCGAACGGACGAGAAGCUUGCUUCUCUGAUGUUAGCGGCGGACGGGUGAGUAACACGUGGAUAACCUACCUAUAAGACUGGGAUAACUUCGGGAAACCGGAGCUAAUACCGGAUAAUAUUUUGAACCGCAUGGUUCAAAAGUGAAAGACGGUCUUGCUGUCACUUAUAGAUGGAUCCGCGCUGCAUUAGCUAGUUGGUAAGGUAACGGCUUACCAAGGCAACGAUGCAUAGCCGACCUGAGAGGGUGAUCGGUCACACUGGAACUGAGACACGGUCCAGAGUCCUACGGGAGGCAGCAGUAGGGAAUCUUCCGCAAUGGGCGAAAGCCUGACGGAGCAACGCCGCGUGAGUGAUGAAGGUCUUCGGAUCGUAAAACUCUGUUAUUAGGGAAGAACAUAUGUGUAAGUAACUGUGCACAUCUUGACGGUACCUAAUCAGAAAGCCACGGCUAACUACGUG
rnacentral:rRNA from 1 species